GGCCCAAUGGUCUAGUAGUAUGAUUCGCGCUUCGGGUUUGUCACCCUGCUGGUGAAGCAUUGAUUGCGCGAGGUCCCGGGUUCAAUUCCCGGUUGGGCCC